rnacentral:rRNA from 1 species
GGUAUGGGAUGAGCUUGCGUCCGAUUAGCUAGUUGGCGGGGCAACGGCCCACCAAGGCGACGAUCGGUAGCCGGCCUGAGAGGGUGAUCGGCCACAUUGGGACUGAGAUACGGCCCAGACUCCUACGGGAGGCAGCAGUAGGGAAUAUUGCACAAUGGGGGGAACCCUGAUGCAGCAACGCCACGUGUGGGAAGAAGCAUUUCGGUGUGUAAACCACUGUCAUGAGGGAAUAAGGCCCGCCUUCGGACGGGAUUGAAUGUACCUUGAGAGGAAGCACCGGCAAACUUCGUGCCAGCAGCCGCGGUAAUACGAGGGGUGCAAGCGUUGUUCGGAAUUACUGGGCGUAAAGGGAGCGUAGGCGGAGAUUCAAGCGGAUUGUACAAUCCCGGAGCCCAACCCCGGCUCUGCAGUCCGAACUGGAUCUCUUGGAUAGUUCAGGGGCAGGC